ACUCUUGCGUGGUGGGGAUGGCUGCCAGUGUCCUCCUUCACUCCAGGCUGGCAGUGUGGCUGGUCAAACCGGAGCACAGCUCCCCACAAUGCUUGUGCUACUGCAUGUCCUAGACCUUGCAGGGAGAUAAAAAGGGUUGUGGUCUUUCCCUCUGUGCCCUUAACCCUCUGCCCCAAGAGGGUCAGUUCACCGCGGUGACACAGCUUAUGCUCAGAUGUGUCCUUCUCCAUCCCUAUUUUUUCUCCUUCUCCCUGGAUGUUAUGUAAAAGACCUGUUUUCCAAGAGCCUUUGGAAAUCUAAUGUCAUCCGAACUUGUUCUUCAAGCGGGAGCAGCCCUUGCUCUCGGGCAUUUACCAGCAGGGAGCGAAGCUUCCUCCUCUCCCAGCGCAGUGCUACGGUGGGCUGGCCUGCGGUCUGCCAGGCUAACAGCCACUUCUUCAUUCUGGAGACAGGACUUUGCCUUUGGCCAUGCGCACGGUGCAGUGAAUCCCACUGCAGAUGUGGGUGGGUGGGCUGCUGGGUCUGUGUAAAUGGUGCAGCAGGAGCCGGCACUGAGCUGAGGAGCUGCUCAACCUGCAGCUGCCUCUUCCUUGGCAGGGAGUGACACUCCCGGCUGCCCCAGCGCAGAGCCCAGGACCCUGGCGGUGAGGUAUUAACAUGAAUAAGCAUUUCUGCAGGAAGCAUUCCUGAGAUGCCGGGUCCGGCUGCACGGUGCUGCCUGGGACUGCCAGAGGGAGGUACACGACCUACAGAUGCCUGAGUUUUCUUUCUACUUCUACAUUUUAGUGAUUCCCUGCUGGUGUAACCUUUAGUGGUGCACAAUGGGAAGAGUUCACGCUCUCAGGUAUUAGCAUCUAAACAGUGGGAAAUUGGCCCUCCCAGCCCCCUCCAUCUCCCUGUCCAUCAGCAGCCCCUGCGUCUGGGGGGGCAGGAACCUCUAGGCCCCAUGCUGUGCUCUGCACCCUCCUGGCAGAGCAAAGCUACGGGAGCCCCUGGGAGCUCCUCAGCUCUGGGUGCCUGGCCAGCGGUGCCAGGGACCCCAGAGAAGAGGGGGAGCCGGUACAGCCAGGGAGAGGGAGCAGGUUCACGCAGGGUGCAGGAAUUCCAGGAAUGCAGCCGCACUGGGGCUCUGCCUGGGUGGGGCUGCUCCGACAGAGGCUUCGGUUUCGAUGAAUAACCCGGGAUGUGCUGCCCGCUGUGUCUGGCCCAUUAGCUCUCUCAUCCUGCAGAUAACCCUGGUCAAAAGCCGAGUUCCUUCCCCCUCCCUCUGGCUUUGGCUUUUAAAGCCACAGAUUAGUCUUGGAAUUGAGUGAUCAAAUUGAGGUUUCCAAGCUAGUGUGGCUGUUGCUGUUAGUGACGGAUUGGGCUGUAUCCUGGAGACCUAGGCGAUAAUGCAAUCUGAUUUUUUGUAAAUGAACUCUCUGGGGGAUUUAGAUUAAAUCACUGGUGGAAAAUCACUGGUCCCUGCUUGUGGGGAAUGAAAUACCUCCUCCCUCCAUUCCCCACCCCCACCAUCAUGGUUAAGACUUCAAUUUUUUUGUGUCUGUCAGUAAAUUCAUUGUUUGGAGCAAAUAUUUGUUCAACAGAUUGCGGAAGGGUCAGGACUCCUCUCCCUCUGACCCGCCCACCAGCUCUUGCUUUGAAGAUCACCGCUUGCCGCGCUUCCCACCCCGGCAGUGGCCUCGCUCUCCUCUCCUGACCUUGAACGGGGCUCUGACUUCACUGCUGGGGCUGAGGGGGAGCUGGGCAAGAUGAAAAGGCCGGGGUGCAGGCAAUCCCACCCCACCAGCCACCAGAAAAAGGGCUGGAGAGCGCGACUGCUGCCAGCCUGUUGCAAACCCCAACCUGAUGCUUGUUUGACAUCUCAGCCAUGGCUUCCCUCCACGCGCAGGUUUCACGUGUCCCCUCUCAGGGACAGCCGUGCGCUCUGGGGAAGGGCCAGUGCAGCGGGAGCUCCCGAGUGCCUCACGCAUGGGAUGUGCGUGGGGAUGCUCCGCUGUGCUCUGGCGUCUGCGGGGAGGGAGCUGCUGGCCUGCUGCCAACUCUCCCCGCACCGAGCUAGUGCCACCCUGCGCUUGCUGUGACCCAGCGGUCCCCCUCCUGCCGCCCUGUUUGCACAGCGAACCUGUUUGGUGCAUCGGAGCUGUUAGAGCCUGUCCCAUGCAAACAAAGCUCUCCCAAGAGGUGCAGCAGGCAGGUCCUGCUGAGAAGGAUGCAAGUUCUGGCAGGUCUGCAUGGCAGGGACCAGGUGGUUUGUGUUUUAGAGUGCUGCAGUGUUUCUCUUCCUGGAAAGCCCCUCUGAAAGAGGGAAGGAGCACAGCUCCAUCACAAGUGUGGCACAGCCCGCUCGCGUAGGAAGCUGUUUCAUUCCCCACCAGUGGAACAAAGGCAAGCGUAGGAUGGCGGCGGGGUGCGCCUUUGCCUUCGGAGGGGCCUCUGAAGGCUGCUGUGUGCUGGGCUGUAGCAGUUUUCUUGAGAAACCAUUUUUUGAGGCAAGGGGGAAAUGGUAGAUCUCGCUAUGUAGUAUUAACAUGGGUGUAUUUUAUCAUGUUUUCUGGCUCUAUGUUGAUUUGCCGCCUUCUCUGCAAUCUGGCACUGCGAAAACAAACAAGAAGAACCCAAGGGGGGCAUUUAAUAACCAGCCCUGGGCUGAAGAGAGCUGCUGCCUUGCUGAGCCAUCAGAGCCAAAGAGGAGGCUUCCCUGGGGCAGUGGCUUUGGUCAGGACCAGAUUCCCACUAGCUGUGGAGUUCAAACAGUGAUCCCGUGGGCUUCGGGAGUCAUUGGGGGUGAGAUCUGGUGAGUGGGAGCACAGGAGGGGGAGCGCAGGAUGAGCAGGAGCGCCCGGCAGGCAGAGGUGCACUGACCGUGCGUAAUCUGCUGGAGAAAGGAACGUGAGCAGCAGCUACUGCCUGCAAAUCCGCAUCCAGAGAGGGAUUUGAAGGGGGGUUCUGGGGGGCAGAUCUGUGGGCACAGGCCAUUUGCGGUACAUGUGGUGGGGAUCACCUGAAGGGGCUCUGUCAGGCCAGGACUGAGCAGUGAGCAUCUUUGUCACCGGUCUGUGACAUCUGAAUCCUGACAUGCUGGGCCAGGCUGCAGGAGGACGGGCUGUGUGUGCUUGGUGUGCUGGACGGACGUGUCGAGUCGCUCUGUGGUGGACUGGAAGUUUGCGGUUCUGUUUGGGGAAAACCCUUAGAAGAUGUCAAUAUAGCAAACUCAUUUUCUAUCUUUCUGAUUUUUUUUUUUACUUCAAUGAUGGGAAGUGACUCAGCCUUUGUCAUAUGACAGAUUGCAGCUGGGAUUUCGUCCUAUGCUCUCGCUCCAGCCUUCUCAGUGUUUUCAGGUUGAGAGCAACGCUUUGAUUCUCAGCUCUUCAGAGAUGCUUUGUGGCCUCGUGCCAUUGCCCAGGGAUCCUGCCUGAUUCCCUGCAGCCAAUGUGGGUUCACGUGUCGGUUUUUGGGGAUGUCCCGGUGCUGCUGGUCCCCUUUGAGAUCCACUCCCUGGCCAGUGUGCAGCAGGGGUGGCUCUGGGAGACAGCUGCAGCUUUGCUGUCCCUGAGCUGAAUCCCAAGCAGUGCUCUGCAAAGUUUUGCUGGGCUAUCACUUUCCAGUUUGUCCUCUAAUUAUUUUACAGUCUGGAUCCCUUGCAGCUGAGAUGAUGCCCCCGUUGUCAUCACCUGCUUGGGAUGAAAAAAAUACCCUUCCCCCGCCAGCUGAAUCCCUCGUGUCCCUUUGCAGUGCGGGCUAUUCCUCCGGCGGUCGCUGCCCGCAGGGUCCUGGCUCGGGCUGUCCUGCCCGGCACGGCCAUGACCUCCAUGCAGCCUGGGAUGUGGGCUCAGUGUGCAGAUCCCGGCAACUCCUGGCUCUCCCCGCAACCUGGGAGGCUGCUGUGCCGCGCUCUCCAGGAAAUGCCAUUGGAAUGAGUUCCCCACCGCUUCCUACCGCCCGCAGCAGCAUUCCUGCCGCUAGACCCAGGGCCCAGAGCCUUGCUCCUCAACCUUUCUCCUUCUCUGGGGCCCUGCCUGUUUUCCUCGUUGCCUCUGAGCGUGCAGUGCAGUUUGAUGACGUUCCUCAGAUCUGUGAUUAGAGCAGGCGCCUGGAAGGCAAAGCCACUGCCCAGGGCUGGCUGCAGCCCAACACAGCAAAAGGGACAGCGUUCCCUCCCAGGGGGGCCGCUGGGAACUCGGGUUUGUAAAGCACUCGGAGGUCCUUUAAUCCAUAGAAUGGAGUGUCAUUUAAAAAAAGAACUGUGAAAUAAUUAACAAACUGUUUCUUGCUGCUCUGUGUUUACAGCUGCUCUUGGUCAUGUCGGUCGUCCCGAUCGCCCCGCUCCUGUCUGAAAGUGGAGCUGGGUGCCCUGAGUGCUGCCUGGACUCUGUCCCCAUUUCAGCAGCAGCAGGCUCUUUUUUUCCCCUGUGGAAGCUGCAGUUUUCUCUGCUGAGGGCCCAGUCCUGCUCUGCCAUUCCAAGGAGUGUUCUUCCAGCAGCAAUUUCCCCACUAACUGUGGAGCUGGACUGUUCCCCGGAGGAGCUGGGGGAAGAGAUGAGUAUCAGUCGUACAAGUGUUGCAGACCACCUGAACUGAGAGGUGAGGGAUUAAUGGUGGCUCUUGCGUUGGAAUCGGGAAGGGGCUGGGGCGGCUGCUCCUUCCCCUCCUGUGACCCCCAGAGCAGAUGUGGACCCAUAUCCUGGCUGAUGCGACACGAAGUUCUCGUCUGCGGGGUGGCUUUGCCUUCAGGAAAGCAGCAGCGUUCUCCUCCUCCACCCUCCCGAGAGGGAUCUUACCCUUAAACACUAUUGUUCUGAGCAACUAAAGAUUAACACAGAUAAUGGAGGCAUGAAAGGGAAGUGGUGGCUGUCGGUGCCAGGGCACUCCUUGGUUUGCUGCCCUGGCCUUGGACGGGGAAACUAGCCGUCCUCCCUGCUCCCCACCUGCUGGGACGUGUGGAGGGGUGUUCAGUGCAAGAUCCCUCUGCAAUCCACUCCUGAGCGUCCUUGAGAUGCCAAGGGCUUCAGUGAGGGGACCUGCUUUCCUGGGGCGUGCGAGAGCUUUCCCCUGUGGAGGGGGAGACGGGGGCUUUGCUGGGGCCAGUGUGGGGCUGUGUGGUGGCCCUGGCUGAGGUGGGGGGGCAAGGGGCUUCCCCUUGGCCGCAGCAGCGCCUGGCAGAGUGCAGGUCGGGGCUGCGGGAGGCACAGCCGUUAGCAGAUGGCUCCAGCUGGGCUCACCGGGGAGCAGGUGUGGGUUUCAGGACGCAGCCUUUGCAGAGAGAUGUCAGUUUUGAAUCCGGGAGGCUCGAGGGGCUGAGCCGUGGCUGCUACAACUUGCAUGCUGGGGAGCUGUGACCUAGUUGUGCUGUAGAAAUGCUCGGUUUAUUUCUUAUUUUUAGGUAUUUUGCUUAUUUUAUCUUCAUGUUUAAUUUAGUUAGCAAAAGAGGAAUGCAAGGGCUGAGCGGCGCUGGGAAGGACUGCCUGCAGGCGGGAGCGCAGCCGUGUCGCUCCAGCCGCCCGCGUCUUCUCUCGGACACGUGCUCACGUGUACCAGCCCAGUGCUGUCUCUCAGGAUCUCUUUAAUGGGAAACCCAGCGCAUCAACGCUGCUGGUGCCUCCGGGGGAGCGCAGGAGGGAGGAGCGGGAUUCGGAGCGUUAGCCAGAGAGGCUCCCGUGGCCAUGGGGACUGUUGGAACCUGGUAGUCUAACUGGUGUCCCUCCCAGUAGAGCAGGGAGCUGGGCGAGCACGGCGUUUCAGCCACCUUGGGGUGGUUAUUCUCUAUGCCACUUGCGCCUGCGUGCAGCCAGUGUGCCCAAGGCUGGGUAGCAGGCUGUAUCUGCGCAGAGGGAGGUUUCAGGGUAUGUGCGAUUCCCCUGGGGAGAGCUGCUUGAAUUUAUUGCAUUAUCCUCCUUCCUGCUCAAGCUUGUGUUUCAGCUGUGUCUGCAGACGGAGCUUCUGAUUUAAGUAGAUCCAAUUAGUAGCUAGCUUCUGGCAUCAGCAUCCUGCUUGGGGAGACAAGCCGUGGAGACGAGGAGCCUCUGGUGGGAGAGGGGCCGGGCUCAACCGUUAGGACAGUCCUGGAGCUCCCCAGCUCGCAGCCCUGGUCCCGAGCUCGAGGGAAACUGAGGCAGGUGUCCUCUGCUCUGUGCUCCACCUGGCUGAGAACAAAGAGCAGGCAGGUUCUCCCUGUCUGUAUCGCUGCCAGGCAGGUGCUCUUAAGACCAGAAUCAAAUAUUCCGAAACGUGACAUCUUGUCAGGGCUUUGAACAGGAGCUGCUCAGGCCGGGGCUACGCAAGGGGCAGAACUGGGAGGGCCGUGUCUGUUGCGGGUAGGACUGUGCACUCAAGGGGAACAUGGAGCUUCCCAAAGGAGCAUGGAUGGGUUUUCUCAGGUUUUCUUCCUUGCUGGGCUCUUUGGGAAGCUCAGAGAGGAGGUCUGGGCUGGCACGGAGCUGGUUUGGUUUGGACACAGUUGACCCUAGUGGGACAGCUCUCUGCAUCACUGCCCUGGUUCUCCAGGUGAUGCUCGUGCCAAUUGCACAUCUCUCUGUUUUUUGCCGCCAUCAGGGCUGAGGAAGGCUGGGGACCCUCUGAGCACAGUGCAGGAGCACAGCUGGUGGCAGUACGUGACAUUAUUUUGUGUGCAACCCAUGGGGAGCUGGCUCGGGGUUUGGGCUGGGACAUGGGAGCUGGGUGUGUAUGUGGCCUUGGGUAGUGUCUGACUAAUGUAUAGAGAAAAUGAGGUGUUGCUACCUGUAAAUCAACUGUCAUAGCAGCGUUGCAAGUGCUUCCAUCCUGGCUCACCAGCGUAUUAAACUUGCCAGAGAGCUAAUAUCUUUUAUUAGAGCAACUGACCUCAUUUAGAAGCUUCCAGUGCAGCAGCCAGUGAUUAUUUCAUGCAACAACACGUAUGGAGGAGCCCAGGGCAGAGCACAAAGUCUCCUUCUCAUGCCACACAGCGCUCCCGCGUUUGCUGCAUCAGCUGCCUGCUCUGCUUCCUGCCCUCCAGCCUGCGAGGGUUUUGCUGUGGGGGACUCAGUGGCCUGGAUCAUUUGAGAUUUCAUGUGGACUAACAGGAAGUGAAAACAGAAUGAGCACAUCUUCCUCCUCUUCCUGCACCUCCACCCUUUCCCCUUUUUCAUUCAAGUGGUGUGUCAGAAUUACAGCAGCCUCGUGAGGCGCCGGGGCUCGGCCGCCACUCCUCCAGGAUGCUGGGGACAAGUGGCUGGAUGUGGGAGAACCAGGUGGCCCUUCCCGGGGACCUGUUUCCCCUGGGGACCGUCUCUGUACGUGGCCUAUGCUCUGAUGAUGCCGCCAUUCCCUGCAGGGAGGGUUUGGGGUGAGGCUCAUGGUUAGGUCCGGGGCCUGGGGGAGCCAUUGGCACCACAGGACUCAGCCCCCUGCUGGGAGGGAACGUGUCUCCACAGCCAGGCACACAUGAGCCCUGCACGUCUCCUCGGUGCAGGUUUCCCCACAGUUACACAAGGGCACGAUUGCACAGGAGCUGUGACGUCUGGGAAGAGCAAUGACAAGGUGAAAAUUGAGCUUCGUGCCCCGGGUGUGGGGGACCCUGCCGAGCAAGGUCCGGCGCAGAGAGCUGGCACCAGAGAACCGUGAAAUGAAAGCAGGAGCCGUCCCUGCCCCCCGCGCGCGCCCCUCGCACAAAGGCUGCUCUGCCUGCUGGGGCUCAGACACCAUCUGUCCGGUGGGGAGAAGCAUCAGAGAGACCGUCUUUUCUCGGACUAUUCCACUUAAUGCCCUUUGGAAAACAAUCCCAUUCCCAGCAGGUGCUAAUCUCUUGAGUGGAUCCGGCUCAGUCAGCAUGUUCUUCACUGUGCCUUUGUACCGGAGCCUCAUCCCUGCCAGUAUGCCCCGCGCCUGCCGGGGCUUCAGCACCUUUGGGAGCCCUCGGCCUGCUCAGUGCUGGGAGAAACGCUGAUGAAAGAUGGAUGCAAGUAGAUUAGUCAUUUGCUUUAAUACACAUGAAUGUUUCAGCAGAUUUCUGGAGCGCAGAGCACAAUUCCCCGCUCUCCAUCUCGUGCUGCCUCCCGGGGCAGGGACAGGGGUUACAGCUGUCAUCGGAGCCCCUUUCAUCUAUUUGGGAAAUGCUGAAAUUGUACUGAAUGGUGUGGGGUUAUUGCAGGUUCCCUGGAGCUGGUGAUGAAACCAGUUUGACAGGAGGCUGAUGUGGCGAGGAUUAGGGCUGGAAUGUGCCGGUGAGGGGUUGUUUCUACUUAGAAAAGAGCUGGCUCUGGGCUGGAGCCCCACAGGUCUGGUGGGCCCCACCGUAGGCUGCAGCCCCGCUCCGUGUGUGGCUGCGGGGAGGAGAGUGAAGCGGGGAUGUGCUUAUUUAUUUAACCCUUUUGCAUUUAUAGCUGAGGGUCGCGGGUUUCUCUGUGUGCAGAGCCCUGGAGCUCAGCCAGGGGCAGCACCCCAGUCCCUGAGCACCCCAGUGCCCAAGCACCCCAGUCCCUGAGCACCCCAGCACCUGCUCCCAGAGCCGCAGUGGCAGCCAGCGGGUGGCAAUUCUGUGCCAUUGUCAUGGAGAUCAGCAGCUGCUUCCCUGGAGGUCACCAUUUGCAUAACAGUCAGAGCUGGGUCUCUGGAGUCCUUGCACCUGCCAGGGCGCUGUCCCCAGAGCCCCUUCCCCUCCCAUGUCCCUGGAGCCCCUUCCCCAGCCCGCCCAGAGUGCUGACGGGACCAGCGUGUUGAACUGGGGGUCUGGAGGAGCUCCAAGACCUGUGCUUAGGAUGGCAGGUUUCCUUAGCUUGCCUCCGUGUCCAGGGUUCGUAUUCACCUCUGGUUCCAGCACCAGUGCAGUGUGACGGGCACGCUCGGUGUCCCUGCUGCUCCCCCUUUGGUGCUGGACCUUGGACAGGGCUGGGGGCAGCGGGGGCCACGUGUGGCUGCAGCGUGGGGUGGAGCAGGAUGGAGGGAGAACCUCCAGGAUGUCUCUUCCACUUUCACAGCGCAUAGGGACCCGCCGAGCUGUGUUUACAGGAUCCCUUUGGGAAUACUUAUGUUUUCUUUUUUUUUUUUUAAAGAUCUCAGCUGCCUUUUCUCCCCUGUGCUUCACCUCCAGGUUUGCAUAUGCCGGUCCCACGCGGUGAGCUGGCAGCCCGGAGGGGCUCGGGGAGCAGGUUGCUGUCGGUGCUUUGUUGUGGUCUGCACUGAGCUGCUGCUUUGCUUUUUCCACUCUUGUCUCGCUGCUCAGAACAAAACUGUUCCCAGCAUCUCAUUAACAAAUGUCUGGUCGUCCAGCUGACUCCGCUCCUGGCCGGUGAUUGGCGUUAGACCUGUUAGCAGUAACACAGCUGUAGUUACGGCGAAGGUAGAACAGAAACAGGCUUGUUUUCAAGUGAAACAUUGCCUCGUGACGAGGAUGCCUGGGUUGGGAGUCAGAUGCUGUGGCUCAUUCGUUGGCUUGUGUGCAACUCCGGGCAAGGCACUUAACCUCUCCGCACCCCUCUUGAUCUGUCUGGGAACAAUGCUGACUUAUCCCACAGGAGGUUUUGGAGAACAAACUGAUUUUUGAUGAAACACAUGAAGAUUUUGGGUAGAAAUGCUUUUGUACGUGCUGAGCUGGUUGCCGUGGGUGUCUCGGCCGGGAGUCGGGGCUGCAGCUCCUGCUGCACUCGAAAUCUCCGUGUCAGAGUCGGACCAAGUGCCGCUGGUUCACCAUGAAUAGUCCCGGUAGAGCCCAGCUCUUUGCUGGUUCUCAGAGCUUCGUGUUGCUGUUUUGGUGACCUCCAUACCCUUCGCCUGUGCAAUGGGAGCCUUGAGCACCCAAACUGGCCUCCUCCCCGCCCUUCCCAUCCCGCUCCACCCUGGCUCACAAGGGACCAGACAGGGAUUCAUCACCCAUGUCUCGUGGGUUUCAUCACGGCCCUCGUGGGUCGGUGUCACCGAAUCCUCUUUCCCCCAGCACUGGGGCUUGUCUUGAAAGAGGAACUGGAUCUGAAUGGGACCUGGAGCUGCUGGGGCAGAGCUGGUGAAUGGAACCAGCGGAGCCUCUGCUGCUAGUGAAACUGGGGGUCUUCCCUGUCCUGCUUCCAGGCCAGGAGGCAAUCGCUGUCUCAGCCGGACCUCCUGCCUGGUUAAUCUGCUCUCCCACCCAGGACAGAGCACUUGGGGUCAGCCCUGCUUCUCUUUCCUCUCUACUGCAGUGCUGUGUUUCCUCACUGGGCCAUAUUUUGGUGGUGGCUGUGCCUCUCCAGGAUGGGGGUGUGAUUUGGGGCAUUGCAGGUGUGUCGAGAGCCUUUGGUGCUGCAGAACCUCCCUGCUCUGCAGGACCACGGGCACCGGUGGAGUCUGGAUCUCCAGGCCCCCCAUGUCCUGCCGUACACGUGCAGCUGGAGGGAAGUUCCCACAGCAAAUACUGGUUUAGUCUCCAGCAAGAAAACGCUGUGUCCUUCCCCAGCGCUGCGGGGGGAGAGGCGAAGCCGGGGGAUCGCCUUUUGUGUAGGCAAAACCUCUCACUGCUUCCUCCUCACCCGCCCCAGAGCAUUCUCCCCUUGGACGUGGCUGUCCCUGGGCUGGUGAAGGGGAUGUGACUGUGUUAAGCAAGGAACAGGGUGUCCUCUCCGGGCUGGAAGGGGCCCACGGGCAUGCGGGGAGGGAGCUUGAGACAUGGUUGAGACACUGACGUGCUGUUGCUACCAUAGUCCUUGUGAGUGGCUCAGGAAUUCCAAAUAUUUCCUCUCAGAUAAAGGUGACUAGGGGAGGCCAGAAAUAUCUGGACGUGUCUGGACAAGCCUGAGAUCUCAAACAUCAGAGCAGAGAGGUCAGGAUCGGUACUGGGAGCACCGGGCUUCAGGUGCUGAGCGGCAGCAGCUCAGGGUGGUGUGGGAACUGCACAAGCUGCCGUUCCCCAGCCCGCACCCCCCGGCAGAGAGGGACACACUCCUGCCUGUUUCCCACCGCCCCUGCUCUGCGAUCACCAUUCCUAGGGGACACAUCUGGGAUUGCAGUUGUGCAGGGGCUGAGCUGUGCCAGCUCCUGGGGACGGCUUCCCUGGGGAAGGACAAGGCGUCCUCCUCCGCGGCCCCUGCGGCCCCCGCUGCCACUGCGCUUCCCAGGGGAGGCCAAGGGGCUCGCGUCCCCUCCCUGCCCACGCGGGGCUCCUGUCGUGCCCCUCUCCGUCUGUAGCACCCGAUAGCUUUUGGUUCAACAUCUGCCAUUUAUCUCUUGUUCAGCAAACACUUCCUUUUCUUAGAAGUAAGGGCUUCAAAACACGCUUCUUGGAACUGCCUUUCCCCAAGCUCGGGGCACAUACUGUGGAGAAGGUGGCGUGGAGGCGGCUGCCAGCGCUCCCCGGCUCCCUGCACUGGGGGGGCCCAUCCUGGGGCUGGUCCUGCUGCCAGCCCCUUCCACCUCCGCAGCCUUCCUGGGGACAGUGGGGACAUCCCCUCCCGUGGGUCAGGAGGAGCCUGCGUGGGGCUCGGUGGGGCAGACGUCACUGAAUCCCAAAGCAAAGUGGCUUUUUCGGGGAGAAUGUAGUACACGGGGUGCAGCCUCCUCCCUCCUGUGUGCUGCAGCUGCGAGGAUCUCCCAGUACUGAGGAAUGUUUAGGGCUGUUUUUGGUGAGCCCAUGCCUUCUGUCCCAUCCGUCCCCACCAGUCUGCUCGCGGGGCUGUCACUGCUGUGCUGCUCGUCACCACCUAUCAGCACAGGGAUUUCCUCUGCCAUAAUUGAAAAUAUCCCCUCCUUGGGUUUGGGCUCUUCUCCCAUCCCUCUCCUGCAGCACAUCCCUGGCUGUUUUUGUGCCCUUCGUGCUGCGGAGCAGUGGGGCUGGCAGCAGGCAGCAGCAAUGGUCAGCUGCCCUCACCUUUGUCCCUGGAUGGCACCUGCCUGUGACCCCCUGUCCUGCCCUGUCCCUGCAGGGCUGGGUUGCAAUCCGGCACCUUGGCAGAGCCUGUGCCAUCCCUGGUGGGACGGGAGCUGCCUUCUGCUGCUCUGUGUAGGUGGCCGGAGUCACAGGGACGGUUGUCACAUCCCUGAGGAGGAUUCAGAGUGAGGUGACAGCAGCCACAUGCCCUGAUGUGAAUUGACAAAGUCCCUGUUGUCGCAGCGCCCUGUCCCCAAGUCUGCUGAUACCUCCUCAUGGUCAAGGGGAUGUGAAAGCAGCGGUGGGGUUGGCGGUGCCGGGAUGGUGUGGGGCGAAGGCACAGGAGCACUGGCAGGUGCUGGGAUGCACAGCUCGCCUGGGCUGUUGUUCAGGUACCUGUGGCCAAGGAGAGGGAUACGGCUCAGCUCUUGGGAGCAAAAGAGCUGAAAAACCACACAUGAGCUGGCUGGUGUGUGUGUGGCACGGUGAGGAGCGGCCCUGUGACCGCGCCGGGGCUGUGCUGUGGGCCUGGGGACAGGCACCAUGUGUCUGGGAGGGAUGGAGAGGCACCUGCCCAAAGAGCCUCUCGAUCCCAGAUGGGAUUUGGGCACCGUGGCUUUAUCCCAGGCUGUGGGGAGGCAGCUGGCGGGCAGCACUGCCCAAGCCAGGCAGGGAUGCCGCCCGUGCCCACGGAGGUCAGGGGGAGGCGUGACACAAGCUCAGCGUCAGCCGGGCUUAUCUCUGCUUUCCCAGAGCAGCCGCGUUACUGGAACUGCGUUCACUUAUCAGAGAACAGGGGACUUGCUGGGAAGAUGGGCUGGAGGUGCAACAGCGCCGAUCCCCCACUGUCACCAAGCUGCCUGCCAUCCCCAAGCCUGGUGCUCGCAGCUCCCGCUCCCUCGGGCCCCGGGACUCCUGCUUGGCCCUGAUAAACUGGGAGCAGCUGGUGUGGGCUGCCCGGGGACCCUCUAUCCCCAUGGUGCCUGGGCCCCCCAGCAGCUCUGUCCUCGCAGUGGCCCAAGGUGCCUGGGGGAGCAGGAGGGCUGGCAUUGUGCCCAGGGGUUCUGCACAGAUGCAGGGGGCAGAUGCUCUCCCCAAAAGCCUGUUUCUGGGAGCAGUUCAGCUCUGGUGGUCUUUCUCUCUGUGCCCUCCCUCUGUCCAGGCCAUCUGUCCCCAGCCCUGUCACCUGCCUGCCUCAAAGGCUGAGGGGCUGCAGCAGUUUGCUGCGCAGUGGAAUGGGUGAAAUCUGCUCCCGGCGAUGAAGGGCUGGAGGUGGCCGGUGUGGACAGGCAGCUCUGGAGCAGCUGCAUUCCUGGCCGAGCUCUCCCGACGCCUCGGGGAAGGCAGGAGCUUCGUGACUCGGUGUGGCCACUGUGGCUGCAGGGACUCGCAAAUCCAGAUGGUGCUGCUGCGUAACCCACGACAGCCGGGCCAUGGGGUGUUGGUCUUGUUGGGGUGCAGCAGUGCAGACAAGGAGGAUUUGUGAGGCUGACCUUACAAAAUGUAAGGCACACCUUACAAAAUGUGCUUGCAAUGGAGCUUUGCAGUUUGAUAUUAUACAUAGUUCAGUUCUUAGCAUCAGUGUUCAUCUGAAGAGUCUGACUAUUGGGUUUUGACAAUUUGCUUCUAAGAGGAGUCAGGAAAACUAAUCCUAAAGGAGGUAUCCAUUAAGUACCUGUUAAAGUUCUGACCCGUGGGCAGUGGGGGGUACACCCUCUGUGUUUCAGCUGUAACCUGGAGCAC